ensembl:ncRNA K09F5.11 ncRNA
GGACGGGCCGGUCGACCACGCCCCAAGUCCGGGUCGACCGCCUAGUUUUUUUCCGAAAUUUCAGUGCAACACAUGCAUGUCUACACAGAUUUUUACAGAUGGAAUCGAAAGUGCGCCAUUUCGCCUAGGGCAAGCAA